rnacentral:rRNA from 1 species
ACACGACUCUCGGCAACGGAUAUCUAGGCUCUCGCAUCGAUGAAGAACGUAGCAAAAUGCGAUACUUGGUGUGAAUUGCAGAAUCCCGUGAAUCAUCGAGUUUUUGAACGCAAGUUGCGCCCGAAGCCAUCCGGCCAAGGGCACGUCUGCCUGGGCGUCACGCAUCUCGUCGCCACCCCUCGUCGUCCUC